GACGAACGCUGGCGGCGUGCUUAACACAUGCAAGUCGAACGGAAAGGCCCCUUUGGGGGUACUCGAGUGGCGAACGGGUGAGUAACACGUGAGUAACCUGCCCUUGACUUCGGGAUAACUUCAGGAAACUGGGGCUAAUACCGGAUAGGAAUCCUUGCUGCAUGGUGGGGGUUGGAAAGCUUCGGCGGUUUUGGAUGGACUCGCGGCUUAUCAGCUUGUUGGUGGGGUAGUGGCUUACCAAGGCUUUGUCGGGUAGCCGGCCUGAGAGGGCGACCGGCCACAUUGGGACUGAGAUACGGCCCAGACUCCUACGGGAGGCAGCAGUGGGGAAGAUUGCACAAUGGGCGGAAGCCUGAUGCAGCAGCGCCGCGUGCGGGAUGACGGCCUUCGGGUUGUAAACCGCUUUCAGCAGGGGCGAAGCUUGUGGUGACGGUACCUGCAGAAGAAGCACCGGCUAACUACGUG
rnacentral:rRNA from 1 species